rnacentral:tRNA from 2 species
GGGGGUAUAGUAUAACUUGGUAGUACAGCGGGCUCCAGACCCGCUGAUCUGGGUUCAAAUCCCAGUGCCCCCACCA